GACGAACGCUGGCGGCGUGCUUAACACAUGCAAGUCGAACGGUGAAGCGCCUUCCUUUUUGGUGGGUGUGGAUGAGUGGCGAACGGGUGAGUAACACGUGAGUAACCUGCCCCCUUCUUCUGGAUAACCGCAUGAAAGUGUGGCUAAUACGGGAUAUUCUGGGUCUGUCGCAUGAUGGGUCUGGGAAAGAUAUUGUUUCGGUGGGGGAUGGGCUCGCGGCCUAUCAGCUUGUUGGUGGGGUGAUGGCCUACCAAGGCGGUGACGGGUAGCCGGCCUGAGAGGGUGGACGGUCACACUGGGACUGAGACACGGCCCAGACUCCUACGGGAGGCAGCAGUGGGGGAUAUUGCACAAUGGGCGAAAGCCUGAUGCAGCGACGCCGCGUGAGGGAUGGAGGCCUUCGGGUUGUGAACCUCUUUCGCCAGUGAAGCAGGCCUGCCUCGUUUGUGGGUGGGUUGACGGUAGCUGGAGAAGAAGCGCCGGCUAACUACGUG
rnacentral:rRNA from 1 species